ACAGAGGUCCCAAGCGUUGUUCGGAUUUACUGGGCGUAAAGGGUGCGUAGGUUGUCAGGCAAGUGAGACGUGAAACAGCCAAGCCUAACUUGGAAAAUGCGUUGGAAACUGCUUGGGUAGAGGAAUGGAGGGGAGACUGGAAUACUUGGUGUAGCAGUGAAAUGCGUAGGUAUGAAGUGGAACACCGGGGGGUAAGGCGAGUCACUGGACAUUUCCUGACGCUUGAGCACGAGAGGGAGGGGAACAAAAAG
rnacentral:rRNA from 1 species